CUCGCGAUAAGAGGGUUUUCACCGAACUGGAAAAAUCAAAUGACCUCAGAUGAGUUAUCGCUUCCUGCGAUUCACUACUUUAUUUACUAUAACUAGGAUUUCGGGAAAAAACUCGUUCAAAUGCGCAAGAACUGUCGCAGUUGGCGUCUCAAAAGCGAUAACGACCGACUCGUGAUAAGCAAAUGGGCUACAUACAAGAUUUUAUUGUCUCCAGUGACGUAAAAAUUGCACUUUGAGUUGCUUCAAACAACACAUUUCACGGACGGCUAUUUUUAUUUGGCCACACAAAAUUAUUCACAAAAAAGCGGUUUAUGUCGCUUUGAGGUUGCAUCAAAAGAGAGAUAAUUUUAACCAUUAAGUGCUAUUUAUAGCAUUAUCGCAGUUUAUAGUACUAUGCUGUGACUUUCACGGCAGACGAAAUUAUCACACGUGACCUUGACUGAACCGGAGUCUAGUCACCUUUGCGAUUUUCGAAAAAAUAUGAUGAAAUUGGCAAUUUUGGACUUCUUGAAGUCUAGCUUGUUGCGUAAGAGGCGCCUGCUUCUAUCUUUUCAGAUAACGCCAUGUUUACAUUUUCGGAGAAAAUGAAGACAUUGCAGGACAUCAGCGACUCGUUUCGUGCUAAUUCCGCGCUUUUUGCGAUUAGGAGCGAAAAUUAUCACCCAAACUCGCAAAAGGUGCCGGGUUUUGGGCCCGAAAUUAUUAUUUUUGCAUAAAAUAGGCAAGAAGUUGCGUUUUUGUCGUCAUAUCAAACGAAAAACCAGAGGGACAUUUUUUUGACACUUCAUUUGACGUUUGAAAUUUUUGCGCUAAAAAAAUUAAAAAAUUAAUUGGAAUUACUGAAAACGGCACUAAAUGUCUUCUUUACCAUAUUUGUAAUUUGGAAAAAAAUUUUUUACAAGAAAAAAUUUAUUUUGCGAAAAUUUUAAUAAGAAUAAUAAAUUGUAGAGUGCCUUGGUUUUAAAUUUUUUUUAUCUGUCAUUUGCUUCAAAAGUUUUUUUUGUCAGAAAUAAAGAAAAACUGUUUUUUUAAUCAAGUUCUGUGUUUUUCAGCCAAAACAGCAGGUAUACAGAGUGGUGAUUUUUUCUGGGCACAUUUUUCAGUGUGCAUUGACGAAAUUACAUUUGUUACAUUUUCGGCGAUUUUUGUAAAUUGAAAAAACUACAGUUAGAAAUGAGAUUCUAAUAAACAUUUCAAAAUUUUUUGAAUUUUGUCGAAAAAAUCAUUUUGUGAAUGCGUCACCAAACACAAAGUGUGCUCAGGAAUUAGACAUUUGACUUGUCAUUAGUGCUGCCACUUGUUAACCCUAAUAAGACAAUUUCUAAAGAAAAAUGAAGAAAAUUCGGAUUUUGUAGCUCAGUUUCGUAUAAAAGUGUGAAAUUUGAUGAUGCAAUGACAGAAACAGUUGACGAGUUUUUUACCGAAAUUUAAAAUACUGUCUUCAAUUGCGUCGUAGAGUCGUGAAGCCAAAUAAAUCUCGCUAAUGCUCCUG